AAAAAUAGCGAAGCCGUCGCUGACAGCGGCGAGCCACUGCCUUCGCCUGGACCUCCUCGUCUCCCUCAUUCGGUCAGACGGCCAGCAGCAAGCUCGCCACUGUCCCGACGCCACCAUGACUCACGGCCAGACCACAGUAGCAGCGACGCGCGCGACUCGCUUCCCCCCAGACACGACGGAUUCUCACAGCACACACACAAGUUCAAUUCCAG
rnacentral:lncRNA from 1 species